rnacentral:lncRNA from 1 species
UCUGAUAUUCAUGUCCCGACUCAAUCUCAUCCUCCAGAAACUCCUCUUAAACUUCAAUUGUAUCUAAGAGCUCAACAUUCCUCCCCGGAUAAAAGUAUUCUGCUGGAAGCCGUUUUGGCACAGAUUGCCUUCCGAAGCACUAUUAGUGCGUCGUGGUGUUUUUCCUGUUGAUCUUCAAUUUUGUGACUUAUGUCCCCAAC